rnacentral:rRNA from 1 species
AGAUUAAACAUAAGAGUUUGAUCCUGGCUCAGAUUGAACGCUGGCGGCAUGCUUUACACAUGCAAGUCGAACGGCAGCACGGAGAGCUUGCUCUCUGGUGGCGAGUGGCGAACGGGUGAGUAAUGCAUCGGAACGUACCGAGUAAUGGGGGAUAACUGUCCGAAAGGAUGGCUAAUACCGCAUACGCCCUGAGGGGGAAAGCGGGGGAUCUUAGGACCUCGCGUUAUUUGAGCGGCCGAUGUUGGAUUAGCUAGUUGGUGGGGUAAAGGCCUACCAAGGCGACGAUCCAUAGCGGGUCUGAGAGGAUGAUCCGCCACAUUGGGACUGAGACACGGCCCAAACUCCUACGGGAGGCAGCAGUGGGGAAUUUUGGACAAUGGGGGGAACCCUGAUCCAGCCAUGCCGCGUGUCUGAAGAAGGCCUUCGGGUUGUAAAGGACUUUUGUUAGGGAAGAAAAGCUGGGUGCUAAUACCAUCUAGUGCUGACGGUACCUAAAGAAUAAGCACCGGCUAACUACGUGCCAGCAGCCGCGGUAAUACGUAGGGUGCGAGCGUUAAUCGGAAUUACUGGGCGUAAAGCGAGCGCAGACGGUUAAAUAAGUCAGAUGUGAAAUCCCCGAGCUCAACUUGGGACGUGCAUUUGAAACUGUGUAACUAGAGUGUGUCAGAGGGAGGUAGAAUUCCACGUGUAGCAGUGAAAUGCGUAGAGAUGUGGAGGAAUACCGAUGGCGAAGGCAGCCUCCUGGGAUAACACUGACGUUCAUGCUCGAAAGCGUG